rnacentral:tRNA from 2 species
GGUGAGGUGUCCGAGUGGCUGAAGGAGCACGCCUGGAAAGUGUGUAAGCGUUUAUAGCGUUUCGAGGGUUCGAAUCCCUCUCUCACCGCCA